rnacentral:rRNA from 1 species
UGGGGAAUAUUGGACAAUGGGCGCAAGCCUGAUCCAGCAAUGCCGCGUGUGUGAAGAAGGCCUUCGGGUUGUAAAGCACUUUUAUCAGGAGCGAAACGCUGUCGGCUAAUACCCGGCGGAACUGACGGUACCUGAGGAAUAAGCACCGGCUAACUUCGUGCCAGCAGCCGCGGUAAUACGAAGGGUGCAAGCGUUAAUCGGAAUUACUGGGCGUAAAGCGUGCGUAGGCGGUUUCUUAAGUCUGCUGUGAAAUCCCCGGGCUCAACCUGGGAAUGGCAGUGGAUACUGGGAGGCUAGAGUGUGUCAGAGGGUGGUGGAAUUCCCGGUGUAGCGGUGAAAUGCGUAGAGAUCGGGAGGAACACCAGUGGCGAAGGCGGCCACCUGGGACAACACUGACGCUGAGGCACGAAAGCGUGGGGAGCAAACAGGAUUAGAUACCCUGGUAGUCCACGCCCUAAAGCGAUGCGAACUGGAUGUUGUCUCAACUCGGAGAUCAGUGUCGAAGCUAACGCGUUAAGUUCGCCGCCUGGGGAGUACGGUCGCAAGACUGAAACUCAAAUGAAUUGACGGGGUCAUAGCUGUUUCC